rnacentral:rRNA from 1 species
GACGAAGGGGGCUAGCGUUGUUCGGAAUUACUGGGCGUAAAGCGAGUGUAGGCGGUUGUUCAAGUCAGGUGUGAAAGCCUUGAGCUCAACUCAAGAAAUGCACUUGAUACUGGAUGACUAGAGGACCGGAGAGGAUAGUGGAAUUCCCAGUGUAGUGGUGAAAUACGUAGAGAUCAUGAGGAAGACCAGUGGCGAAGGCGGGUCUCUGGACAGUUCCUGACACUGAGACACGAAGGCCAGGGGAGCAAACGGG